CGGGUGAGUAGUGUAUGGGGAUCUGCCUGAUGGCGGGGGAUAACUACUGGAAACGGUAGCUAAUACCGCAUAAUGUCUACGGACCAAAGCGGGGGACCUCCGGGCCUCGCGCCAUCAGAUGAACCCAUAUGGGAUUAGCUUGUAGGUAAGGUAACGGCUUACCUAGGCGACGAUCCCUAGCUGGUCUGAGAGGAUGAUCAGCCACACUGGGACUGAGACACGGUCCAG
rnacentral:rRNA from 1 species